rnacentral:ncRNA from 1 species
CAAAUAACAGUGAAAAGGAUUAGUAGUGAGCAAUACGGAAUGCAGAGAGUUGACGGAUGGUGCAAGUCAACCGAAGUUUGUUCAUGAACUCGCCUUUGAGUUGCGAAUAUGAACGGCUGUUUUGCCUAAUAAUGUUCGCCGUGAAUCUGCGUUAAGGAAUCGAGUGAGCGCACGUUUUUUGUGCGCUAAACAGGGUGGUACCGCGGGAAGUUCAAUCUCUCGUCCCUUGU